GAUGAACGCUGGCGGCGUGCCUAAUACAUGCAAGUCGAGCGAACAGACGAGGAGCUUGCUCCUCUGACGUUAGCGGCGGACGGGUGAGUAACACGUGGAUAACCUACCUAUAAGACUGGGAUAACUUCGGGAAACCGGAGCUAAUACCGGAUAAUAUAUUGAACCGCAUGGUUCAAUAGUGAAAGACGGUUUUGCUGUCACUUAUAGAUGGAUCCGCGCCGCAUUAGCUAGUUGGUAAGGUAACGGCUUACCAAGGCAACGAUGCGUAGCCGACCUGAGAGGGUGAUCGGCCACACUGGAACUGAGACACGGUCCAGACUCCUUCGGGAGGCAGCAGUAGGGAAUCUUCCGCAAUGGGCGAAAGCUUGACGGAGCAACGCCGCGUGAGUGAUGAAGGUCUUCGGAUCGUAAAACUCUGUUAUUAGGGAAGAACAAAUGUGUAAGUAACUAUGCACGUCUUGACGGUACCUAAUCAGAAAGCCACGGCUAACUACGUG
rnacentral:rRNA from 1 species